rnacentral:rRNA from 1 species
UACAGAGGGUGCGAGCGUUAAUCGGAAUUACUGGGCGUAAAGCGCGCGUAGGCGGCUACUUAAGUCGGAUGUGAAAGCCCUUGGCUCAACUAAGGAAGUGCACCCGAAACUGAGUGGCUUGAGUACUAAAGAGGGUCGCGGAAUUCCCGGUGUAGAGGUGAAAUUCGUAGAUAUCGGGAGGAACACCGGUGGCGAAGGCGGCGACCUGGGUAGAUACUGACGCUGAGGCGCGAAAGCGUGGGGAGCAAACAGG